rnacentral:misc_RNA from 1 species
GAGGUGACACGAAUGCGUCUUUGGUUUUUCUGCGGUGCCCCUCUUCUCACGAGCACGGGUCGCGCUGCCUGAAAUCCAACCAAAGCAAGCGCGUAAACCCGCAUACACUCAUACCCACAAGCACACCAGCGCACUACCUAGCGGGACGAAGGGUGGCAUACACGCACGCACACACACACACGUGUGACGCAACACGACGCACGAAGGUGACGGGCCUGCCAAUAUACGCUGCGCAGCCCUGUCUGCGCUUCCCCACCGGCAACACACGCAUAAUAAACACAGAUAAUCAUAUUGCAGGACGUAAUGGACGCCGAGCGCGCCGCGGUGCGCAUCUUCGACCUGAUCGACGCACGCCAGAUCGGUCAGGCGGAGGGUGCGCUGGAGACGGCUCUGCAGAAGUUCCCUGAUGACGACAGCCUCCGCGCGGCCGAGGCUCUCAUUGUGAUGCGCAACGGCAACUACCGCCUCGCAAAAGCCAAGGCUGUUGCCUUGAGCGAGAGGAACAUCACGAAGCCGAAGGCUGUCAACGCGCUAGUGCACGUCCUGCAAAAUUGUUGCUGCUGGGAUGCCCUUGCAGCGACGUACGAGCGCUUGAAACCGCUGCAGAACGAACGGCAAAUCUCGGAAAACCUAGUGCAGACGUACACCCGCAUGGGUGCGUAUGCGAAGGUGCAACAGGCGGCCAUGCAGCUAUACCGUCAGUACAGCGAUCCCAAGUACCAGGUAUGGAUGGUGCAGGCGAUGCUGGCGCAGGUGCCCGCCGACAGCUCCGACCACAUACUGCUGAAGCUCUCAACGAAACUUCUGGACGCGGCCGUGCUGACGGAGAAAGGGCAUAUUGUGCCGUCGACAGUGCAGACCUACGUCGACGUGCUCGCACAGCAGGGCCAGUACGCCACCGCCGUGGACUUCCUGCUGAGUGGGCGUGCCGCAAAGAUCGGGCUUCUCGCGACGCGCCUCGAGGCGCUGGCUCGGAUGCUGCAGAAGGCGGGGCGGGUGUCGGCGGCGAAUGCGGUGGCGCGGUAUCUUUGGAGCCAGGAGAGCGAUAACUGGGCUUCUUUCACCAUCUACAAGGAUACGCUGGUGCCCGCUGCUGACAUUGAUGCAGGGGAAGGGGGAGGUGAAGCUUCUGCGUUGGAGUUGCGUGGCCCCGCACCAGAGAUGCGCACUACCGUCGAUUGCACCAUGGCUCAUCACUCGCUGGAGGAGGCGGUGCAGCUGGCGCGCGAGCUGCAAGAGCAGGAGGAGUCAAAGCAUCCAAACAAGCAUCGGCGUGGUCCCUACCUCGCGGAGCUGGACCUGCUGCACUCGCUUCAGUCGACGGAUAUGCAGGCGCGCGUGAUCGCGUACGUGGAGCGCUUCUACCGCAAGCCGAGCUGCUACCUUGACAUCUCCACCUUCCUUACACCGACUAUCGCAGCAAGCGUGUACGAGUGGUCGCGCUCUUGCGCCUGCGCGGCAUCGAGGGAUGAGGUAGAUGUGCACACACGCCGCAUCCUCGGCCUCCGCUGCCUUGUGGGCUCGUGGGAGGAGACACCAGCGGCCGGUGAGCCUCGCGCGCUGUUCUGUGAAUGCGUGGAGGCCUACCAAAGCAGCAGGCACCUCUCCGAGAGCCUUGCGUGGAGUGAGGAGGGGCUGUGUGAUGGGUACGUCACCGUUGCCUUGAACAUCGCCCUGCGCUGCUACGCGGCUGACAAGACUUCCCCAGACUACUCAUACCUCGUCGAGGGCCUCGACCUGAUGAGCGUGGUGGACCGCCGCAUGAACAACCCGACGUGGCUCAUCUACGCGGUGUGCUUUGCGAACCUGCUCGGCCUCACCGAGCGCGCGGCGCUGCACCAGCUCGCCUUCAAGAACGUCCAGCGUGACACGAUGGCGCAUGUGGGAUACUGGCCGCUGCUGACUGGGCUUGCGCUGGAGGAUGUCGCGAACUGGGAUUGCUGGGCAGAGGACUACUACAGCCUGCAAGAGCGUGACUGUAGCUUGCUGCGUGCCAAGGUGUUCAACUACACGUCUUGGCCAGCCAUGCAGGAUGUGCAGCGCUUUGAGGCAGCACAGACCAACUCGCUCUACCGCUGGCAGUGCCCGGCCAACGAGUUCACUUCCGCGCUGCUUGAGUGCCAGACACAGAAGGACGUGAAAGAGUCGUUAAAGGUCCGUGUCGAGGGGCUGUGGGCGGCAUGGGAGCGCCUGAGCGUCGCUGGAGCAGCCGACACACUCAUUGACAACACGGACUGGAUCGUCGCCAAGUCGGUGGUGUUGGGCAACAUCCACUCCGCCACCGUCCAGCAGCUCACAGACUCUCUCGUUGUUGUGCCGUCGCGGGAUUGGCAGGUGCGCCGCAGCCGCCAACUGCUCUCGUCCAUCUUCCUUGUGCACGACUUGGCAGCCGUCAGCUCUCACCGCGAAGCCGCGGUUCAGGCGAGCAAGUCGCGCAAGGGAAAGAACGCACGCGCAGACAGCGAUUCGGCAGCUGCCCCGGUCUUGUACAGCAGCCGUCUAGGCACCCCGUCAGCCUCGGUGGAGUACUUGCCGGCGGUGCAGCCGCUGGCCGGUGUGUUGCGCGCUUACGUGGACUCCCUCGGCGAGGUGGCGCCUGAGGCCGCCAGCGCAACUGCGGAGCUGCGCACCUAUCUCAAGUCUCUGGUCGCCGACUCAGAGCACAGCGCAGGUGCCUUUGAAGUGUUCCUCUAUCCACAGGCGUACAUCUUAUCAGCCCUGCUAAAGAUGGCGCCGGCGGCGAAGCUGCCGGUAAAGCAGUGGGUCGCCGAUGUGCGGGAGACGCUGGAGACGGCGCAGCGCCGGUACGAGUCGCGCUCGUGGUCCGCGCUCGCUACCACAGUCGGGCGGACACCUGUGCCUUCGGCGCGCGCGGUGGAGAGCAUCAAUCUAGAGCCGGACAGCUUCACGGCGAAACUGGAGGCGGAAAAGGUGCACCGCAUCGUUGGUUACGUGUCCAGCCUCAAGGUCGAGAUGGGUGCAUAUGCGCGUUGAGAGGAAGACGGACAGCGACUGUAGUGAGCGCUGGCACGAAGGCAGCUCCUCCGUCCUUUUUCUCGGCACUGCCACGUUGCUUUCACUCUCUCCGCUUCCUCUCUCGUGGUGCCGCCUGCUGUUUCCCUCUACAGCUUUAUCCUUGUGUGUGGUGUCUGUCGGUGUUCGAGGGCGAAGCGGUAUAAUCUGAUGUUAACGGUGAAUCGAUGGGGCGCGGUGCGUGCGUGUGUGCAAGG